UCGAAAAUGACUAUAGAUUGGUAUUAUUUACCAAAAAAUUCGUUAUAUUUACUAAAUAUUUCUCUCAGUGUUUGUUUUGAAAUUAGAUUUGAUGUUGCGCGCAAUUUUUUCGGAAGAUUUAAAUUGUUAAGAUUCCUGUUAACAUUCAGUAUCAAAGCUAGUUUUUAUUGCUGAAAAUCUCAGAUAUGUCGUCGAAACAAUUCAUAAAUAUCAAAAAUAAAUAUGAGCGAAUAAUAGUUUUGGUGGACAUGGACUGCUUCUAUUGCCAAGUCGAAGAAAAAAUGAAUCCUGAGAUCCGAGGCAAACCAAUUGCCGUUGUGCAGUAUAACCCAUGGCAAGGAGGAGGAAUUAUAGCUGUCAAUUACCCUGCACGAGCCAAAGGCGUUACAAGACACAUGCGAGGGGACGAAGCAAGACAACACUGUCCCGAUAUUAUAUUGCCUCAGGUACCUCAAGUUCGCGGGAAGGCAGACAUCUCGAAGUAUCGCGAUGCUGGCAAGGAAGUGGCUGCUGUUUUGCAAUCAUUCACACCUCUUCUAGAGCGAGCCAGCGUGGACGAAGCGUACCUGGAUAUCACAGAGAGAGUACUUGUUAGACUUCGAGAGAUGAAUGAGGGCAAGUUUCAACUUCAGCCAGACAAACUUGCAAAUACAUUUGCUGUUGGAUAUAACAAUGUACAGGAAUUUGUGCAAAAAAUAUCUGGUGAUCUCGAAGGAGAACGUGAAUCCCAAAAUCAUGAUUUUGAUACUGAGGAAGACCAUAUGACGUACAAGAAAAGCGAUAUAAAAUUACUCAUUGGAGCUUCGAUUGUUAACGAGAUACGUGAUGCAGUGAAGGAUAAAACAGGAUAUGAAUGUUCGGCUGGAAUAGCUCACAACAAGAUUCUGGCCAAACUGACCGCCGGAUUUCAUAAACCAAACAAACAAACCAUCCUACCGCUCAAGAGUAUUCCAGUGAUGUAUCAAAAGUUACAGAUUAAAAAGGUGAAGGGGCUUGGAGGCAAGUUGGGUGAACAGGUCUGUGAGUUAUUGAAGAUUCAAUUCAUGUCUGAGCUGUGUAAUUUUUCGGAGAAAAUAUUGCAAACCCAUUUCGAUGAACGAAUGGGUUCCUGGAUGUAUCUAAUAGCAAGAGGAAUUGAUCUUGAAGCAGUUACCCCUAAAUUCAACUCUAAAAGUAUUGGUUGUUGCAAACGAUUUCCGGGCAAAAAUGCUCUAAGUGGUUUUGCAUCAUUGAAGCAUUGGCUACAAGAAUUAUCGAUUGAGAUACAAGAGCGAUUGAAAAAAGAUAUAGAAGAAAACAAUCGAUCAGCGAAACAAAUAACUGUGAGUUAUACCCAACAAAUUGGCGAAAAUGAAGUAGCCAGUACCAGAAGUGUGCCACUUGUUUCCUAUGAAGCAGACAAAAUUGCCGCUGAUGCAUUAGAGGCCAUCAAGCGAAAUACUGCUGUAUUUCUGAAAACUGGUACUUCCGGUGCCCUCAACAAUCCAAUUAAAUUUUUGGGUUUAGCUGCCGGAAAAUUCGAAGAACAUUCUUCUAAGAACAACAGUUUGAAAGAAAUGUUCUCCAUUAUUGCUAGCAAAGCAUCAAAAAUAGAAGCACGUUCCUAUGAAAUUGAGAUGGAUAGUAAGGAUAGAAAUAGUUUCUUUCAAUCACACUCCACUAAAUCCGAAACAUGUGGACAAUCUAAUUAUGAUAACAGACUUCAAAAUUACUUCAAAGUAUCUUACUCGAAGGAUAACGAGAACACUACAACAAGUUCAAUGAAUGAAGAAAUUGAAGAAAAAUGUUUAAUGAAUGAAGAAAUAGCGUUGAAAAAUGACAGUGCUGUUGAAGGUCAAAAUGAUAGAGAUGCCCUUUCUAAUCCAGACGUUUUUUUGAACUCAACUAUGUCAUUGGAAGAUACCGCACAGGGAAUAAUUACAAAUGCUCAAGCUAUCGAUGUUGCUGAGUUAAAUGCUGAUUUCCCAGAUAGUGAAUCAGACAAUCAAACAGUGGAUCAAAAGCUGGAUCGUACAUAUGAUAACAAUCAUUCUACUAAAAACUACCGUGAAACGUAUGUCGAAUACUACCGUCAUACAGCGACUCCGCAAGUACCCCAGAAACAGUGCCCAAAUUGCAAUAAAACCGUAUCAGAAAGCGAAUAUCAGUGUCACCUCGAUUUUCACUUGGCACUUGAAGUCAGCCAAAAGCAACGUGAAGAUUAUCGUAGCACUAUAAAAAACAAGUUUAAAUCACUUGUACCCAAACCAAAACCAAAAGAAGAAAAGCAAAUUUCUCAGAUAGAUAAGUUCCUGACAACAACGCCAGUAGAGACACUAGACUCACAAACAAGUAGAUGUCCAGAAUGUGGCAAAUCUGUACCGUCAGCACAAAUGCAUGAGCAUAAUGACUACCAUAUUGCUAGAAAGUUGCAAAUUGAAUUCAACCGAAUUGAAAUGAGCACGGCAAGUUCGAGUACUGCCAGUAUAAAAACUGAAAAUUCCACUAGAAAUAAAAGGAAACGCCCAAGUGAUGAUAAAAACAAACCAGUCAAAAUAAAAAAAUGCUGAUCAUCGUACCCUGACAGAUCACGAUCGUUACGUGAUGGUCAAGCAGACUGAACGAUCGACGAACGACGAACGAUCAGUAAGCAGUUACAUUGCUACUGUGUACUGUACGAGGGGAUCGCCGAAUCGACGAAUCGACGGGCGUAUUAACAAAGCGGCUUCCACAAUAAAGGGAGAUAUUUUGCUAUCUCACGUCAUUCGCCGCACGAAAUAAAGGUGAAUGUUUCAGGUUUAAAUUGGCAUGAACGAUAUAAACCGAUUUCAAUAGUAGGUUCACAUCAAGAAUUAUAUAUUGAGAACGAAUACAAUUUUUUCGGAAAUUCAGUUUGUUGAAACAUAUAUUUUCCUUCCAAAGAAUGUAUUAUUAUUAUGUGACGAAAAUAAAAAUACUCGUACAUUUGAACGGUUUCUUAAAAUACUCUCACCUCAAUGCCCUGUGGCAUACAUAGGGGAUAAAUCAACCGACAAACAUUUUUUUCACCAUGUUGCUGUACUUUAUGUCUUCCUGUUGCUUAGCUAUUUUUAUUCGCUGAUAUAACGCCAUGCAAUCCUUGUUUGUGGUAUAAUCGAUUCGUUCUAGUGUGCUAAUUGCCUCUUUGUAAAGCUUGAUGUGGAAUUGCGCCGAAGCUUUACGAUAUAUAGCUUUGUCCAACGGUUUUUCUACUUUUUCAAGAUAUCCAAGAACAUGAAGCACCUCAUCAUAUCUACAUUGCCUAAUAAGGCAAGCGGAAAUAUUUAGAUAGAGAACUUCAAGGAGAGAUUGCAUUUCACGAGUUGUGUCAUGUUUCUUUUCUAGAGGUUCAAGAUCUUCCAACGGAGAACAAGCCAGUAAGCACUUAGACGCAAGAUUGAAGUAGCGGUGUGCGAACAGUGUAUAUUCGGGAAACAUCUUAACCCCAUUUUCUUUGUAUUGUUUAGCAAGAGUCAACAUCUGUUCUGGAGAUUUAUCGUGGUAAUAUCCAUGGUCCUCUAUCCUCAGUAAGUUUAGUAUAAAGCUGAUUUCGCAAUUUUUGCAAGAGAUAACGCAUUUGCUAGUUUCAUUGGUUAGCAUUUGUAUCAAAAAUAACUCAAUAUAGCAAUCAACUGGUGUAAUACCAGUACCAAUUUCAAUCCAUUGUUCUACAAUUUCCUCUCUUGGUUUCAGUAUAUUUGAUUUUCUUCCACUCAAGCCACUUAUAUUCGUUAUCGUUAUUAGACAACGUGACAGAUACGAUGGCUUCGUCAUUGACAUAAAACGGAAACUUAUACGUUCUUUUCGCAGUCCUUUAGUUACAUCUGUCCAUACACCAGGAACUAACUCGUUUUCUGAUAGGAGCGCUGUUCCCUCUUCAGUUUCCAUAUUGUGACGUUAUCACCGUAUGUCUCUCCACGAGAUCCAGUUUCAGUACAGGAUUGAUCGUUGCAUUAAUUUUGGUACAUGUCCAAGGCUAAUAUGAUUGAAUGCUGGAAUCAAAAUUAGAAAUUAUUGAAAACAUCAGAAAUUAAACCAAAACAAUUAUGAGUGAUAGUCAUGUUUCCAAACGAUCGGUAGGAGUCUUCAAGUUUGCAAAACAUUCUCAUCCGGAAAUGUUGCUUGGGCAUGAAAACUGUUUUGCAUAGUUUGUUAAACUUUUAGUUACACUGCUAUCACUAUAUAACCGCCUAAUGGAUUUUCUCAUCUAUUUCGAAUUCAAACAUUGUUUCGGUAGACAUCGUAAACGAUAAAUCAAUUUAUACAAUUUAUAUCUGAAUAUUUUUACCUUCUGGUUUCUUACAUCUACAUAUAUCUGACACACUGACUCAUAUCGCUUGUUUAUAUUGAAAAUUGAGCAUGGUUGAACUGACGCAUGUAGUCUUAUAGCGAAUUCGUUUUUGUUCAGUUUCAACCAAGGCGCUUAUAUCAAUGUAUAACAGGUGAAGCAACAUCAUCACUUCAAUAAGGAGGGGAUUACGGUUUGUGGAGCGGGGGUUGUUUGUUUUGUUAUUGCUAGGAUACGCUACUUUUGCAUUUUCACAUGCGAGAGUAGUGGAAAUGAGAAUGAAAAUCUACAAAAUCACCCCUUCUUUUUCAUAAAAUUCGCGAAAGCGGAACAUAGUAGGCAUCGUUCGAAUAAGCGUCGUAGCAGUUUGUAGACAGCCGCCGGCAGCGAUCUGAUGCCGUUUGUAAACAAUACCGAAAGCAAUUUCAAUAUGGUUGAAAGUGCAUUUCAUAUGAUUGUUUCACCUGGUAUAUAUAGAGGCACCUUGGUUUCAACCAAGGCGCUUAUAUGAAUGUAUAACAGGUGAAGCAACAUCAUCACUUCAAUAAGAAGGGGAUUACGUUUUGUGGAGCGGGGGUUGUUUGUUUUGUUAUUGCUAGGGUACGCCAUUUUUGCAUUUUCACAUGCGAGAGUAGUGGAUGAACUGGAUGAGAAUGAAAUUCUACAAAAUCAUCCCUUCUUUUUCACAUAAAUUCGCGAAAGCCGAACAUAGUAGGAAUCAUUCGAAUAAGCGUCGUAACCGUUUGUAGAGAGCCGCCGGCAGCUGUUUGUAAAUAAUACCGACAGCAAUUCCAAUAUGGUUGAAAGUGCAUUUCAUAAGAUUGUUUCACCUGGUAUAUAUAUGCGCCUUGGUUUCAACCAGGGGUAUGACUAAAAGAAACUUUACACCCAGAAGACAGAUUACUAAAAUAAGCUACCAAAUCUUUGGUAAGCCAAACAUUAGUAGAAUGUACAAUUUAUCUGUAAAUAUUACCGACCGUUAGUAAAAUGAAUGUCAGAUGCAAUACACAUGCCUACCAACGGUACAAUUGGUACAUUUUACUGUGCAUUAUUGGUAACUAAGACAAUUGUCAUCCCUGGCAACCGCGAAAAACUAUCUAUCAUUAUUCCAAUUUUCGCCGUGCUGAUAACAACUAUAAAGAGAAACCGAUUCACAGUGGUGGUACUUUGCAACCCACCAGUGGAGGUGGAGGUAUCGUGCUGGGAAUAACUGGCGAAGAUGGUGAUAACUCGGCCGAUAAACACCUGCAUGAUUUGGUGGACCAUUAUUUUUCUAAACUGGUUAAAUGUGAUAAGUGUCAGCAAUACUUGCAGUGGCUAAUACAUCAGGGAACGCUAUGCUUGAACCGUGCGCAGCGGAAACUGGCAGCCGGGUGAUAACGUUGACCAGCCGUAGCCAGCAGGUCUUUGGGCUUGGUCUUUGCUAGCGCCGCAGAUUGUUAUAAUACUUUGCAACGAGCUCAAACAGAAAGCGAUGUUUAACGUGAACCUGGAUCUGUAUAAGAUGUAUCGGACGACGUCACCGAAACACGACGAGGUUAACAAACAUUGAUCUGAGCAGAUACUCACCGUAAUGUGUAGCCACGGUGCUAAAGAAGUUCUUAUGGGGGCUGCUAGAUCCGAUCAUUCCGGUCAUAACCGUUCGUUCGUCGAAUUGCCAGUGAUGCAUAGCAAUCCGAUUGCAUACCCAGGAUCUGCCAAUUUACCACAACAUGACGCUCAAGUAUAUCAUGAUACAUCUAAUGCGAAUAUGCCAAAUGCAUACCAGCGGGAAUUGAGAGAGGAACCGA